AUUGAACGCUGGCGGCAAGCCUAACACAUGCAAGUCGAACGAGUGGCGGACGGGUGAGUAAUGUCUGGGAAACUGCCUGAUGGCGGGGGAUAACUACUGGAAACGGUAGCUAAUACCGCAUACCAUCGGAUGUGCCCAGAUGGGAUUAGCUAGUAGGUGGGGUAAAGGCUCACCUAGGCGACGAUCCCUAGCUGGUCUGAGAGGAUGACCAGCCACACUGGAACUGAGACACGGUCCAGACUCCGACGGGAGGCAGCAGUGGGGAAUGUUGGACAAUGGGCGAAAGCCUGAUGCAGCCAUGCCGCGUGUAUGAAGAAGGCCUUCGGGUUGUAAAGUACUUUCAGCAGGGAGGCGUUACCCGCAGAAGAAGAACCGGCUAACUCCGUGCCAGCAGCAGCGGUAAUUC
rnacentral:rRNA from 1 species